AUUCCUGCUCUGAACAUUGACGAGAAUUCAAUUCAAGAAAACAAACCAAUUCCUGAUGUACUAUUAUCAAAGAGUGUCAGUUCAGGAAAUCUGAGUUCAAUGGAUUGGAUGCAUGGUCCUGCAAUGAAGCCUGCUUUCCUUGAUUUCCCUGGAAUAGAUUUUAACGCGGUUUAUGGCAUGCGGAGAGCGUUUAGUGAAGGAGAUAUCAAGGUCAAUCUAAAACAAUUCAUGUAUUUUGUGUGUGCUUCUUAUAAAUUAAAUAACAUCUAUGGCCACUUUGUUAAACAUUAUAUGUUGUAUUGGAAAAAAUCUAAGUCCCACGUUUAAAAGAGACAAGACUUGGAUAAAGUUUAUAAAGAGAGAAUUUAAGAAUGAGUCAGGUCCAAUAUAACAAUUUAAUAUGUUGGUGUAUCUGGACUCGGAUCGUCAGUAGCGCACACGGUGAACGGAUGUUACUAAGUCCAAAUACAUCAACAUAUAAUGUCUAAGACAAAGAAGCCAUGGAUGUUACUUAAUUUAUAUAGAUUGAUAAAUAUAUUGUAUACCUAGUUGCCAUAUCAACAAGAUUUUGUGUAUGAUUAACAUUGUUUGUAUAACAGACUCUUGGCAAUGGUAACAUGAGUGUUGGCCAAUCCACUCUAGAGAGGCCUUUUCUUCUCAGUAACUGCACGAGUGAGC
rnacentral:lncRNA from 1 species